CCGACCUCAGAGCAGGUGAGAUUACC
rnacentral:rRNA from 5 species